rnacentral:lncRNA from 1 species
CUUUAAUAAUUGAGUGAGUGAUUGUUUCGAACUCGAACUUAGAAUAUGUAAGCAUGUAGGCCUUUUAUGAUUGAGUGAGUGAUUGCUCGAACUCGAAGUAAGAUAGCCCUUAGGCUUUAAUAAUUGAGUGAGUGAUUGUUUCGAACUCGAACUUAGAAUAACUAAGCCCGUAGGCCUUUUAUGAUCGAGUGAGUCAUUGCUCGAACUCGAUGUAAGAUAGCCCUUAGGCUUUAAUAAUUGAUUGAGCGAUUGUUCCGAACUCAAACUCAGAAUAACUAUACAUAUAGGCCUUUUAUGAUCGAGUUAGUGAUUGCUCGAACUCGAAGUAUGAUAGCCCUUAGGCUUUAAUAAUUGAGUGAGUGAUUGUUUCGAACUCGAACUCAGAAUAUCUAAGCCCGUAGGCCUUUUAAGAUAGGGUGAGUGAUUUAUCGAACUCGAAGUAAGAUAGCCCUUUGGCUUUAAUAAUUGAUUGAGUGAUUGUUUCUAACUCGAGCUCCGAAUAUCUAAGCCCGUAGGCCUUUUAUGAUCGAGUGAGUGAUUGCUCGAACUCGAAGUAUGAUAGCCCUUAGGCUUUAAUAAUUGGGUGAGUGAUUGUUUCGAACUCGAACUUAGAAUAUCUAAGCCCGUAGGCCCUUUAUGAUCGAGUGAGUGAUUUCUCGAACUCGAAGUAAGAUACCACUUUGGCUUUAAUAAUUGAGUGAGUGAUUAUUUCGAACUCGAACUCAGAUUAUCUAUGCCUGUAGGACAUUUAUGAUCAAGUGACUGAUUACUCAAACUCGAAGAAAGAUAGCCCUUAGGCUUUAAUAAUUGAGUGAGUGAUUGUUCCGAACUCGAACUUAGAAUAACUAAGAAUGUAGGCCUUUUAUGAUCGAGUGAGUGAUUUCUCGAACUCGAAGUACGAUAGCCCUUUGGGUUUAAUAAUUGAGUGAGUGAUUGUUUCGAAAUCGAACUCAGAAUAUCUAAGCAUGUAGGCCUUUUAUGAUGGAGUGAGUGAUUGCUCGAACUCGAAGUAAGAUAGACCUUAGGCUUUAAUAAUUGAGUGAGUGAUUGUUUCAAACUCGAACUCAGAAUAACUAAGCCCGUAGGCCUUUUAUGAUCGAGUGAGUCAUUGCUCGAACUCGAAGUAAGAUAGCCCUUACGCUUUUAUAAUUGAGUGAGUGAUUGUUUCGAACUCGAACUCAGAAUAUCUAUGUCCGUAGGACUUUUAUGAUCGAGUGAGUGAUUUCUUGAACUCGAAGUAAGAUAGCCCUUACUCUUUAAUAAUUGAGUGAGUGAUUGUUUCGAACUCGUACUCAGAAUAUCUAAGCAUGUAGGCCUUUUAUGAUCGAGUGAGUGAUUUCUCGAACUCAAAGUAAGAUAGCCCUUUGGCUCUAAUAAUUGAUUGAGUGAUUGUUUCGAACUUGAACUCAGAAUAUCUAAGCCCGUAGGCCUUCUAUGAUCGAGUGAGUGAUUGCUCGAACUCAAAGUAAGAUAGCUCUUAGGCUUUAAUAAUUGAGUGAGUUAUUGUUUCGAACUCGAACUCAGAAUAUCUAAGCCCGUAGGCCCUUUAUAAUCGAGUAAGUGAUUGCUAGAACUCGAAGUAAAAUAGCCCUUAGGCUUUAAUAAUUGAGUGAGCGAUUGUUUCGAACUCGAACUGAGAAUAUCUAAUCCUAUAGGACUUUUAUGAUCGAGUGAGUGAUUUCUUGAACUCGAAGUAAGAUAGCCCU